rnacentral:tRNA from 3 species
GGUGGUGUAGCCAAGUGGUUAGGCCGCGGUCUGCAAAACCGCUCACGCCGGUUCAAUUCCGGCCGCCACCUCCA